rnacentral:rRNA from 1 species
UACAGAGGUCCCGGGCGUGUUCGGAUUCACUGGGCGUAAAGGGUGCGUAGGUGGUUGGGUAAGUUUGAUGUGAAAGCUCAGGGCUUAACCCUGAAAUGGCAUUGAAUACUACUCAACUGGAGGUUUGGAGGGGGGACUGGAAUUCUUGGUGUAGCAGUGAAAUGCGUAGAUAUCAAGAGGAACACCAGUGGCGAAGGCGAGUCCCUGGACAACACCUGACACUGAGGCACGAAAGCUAGGGGAGCAAACAGG